GACGAACGCUGGCGGCGUGCCUAAUACAUGCAAGUCGAGCGAAUCAUUAGGAGCUUGCUCCUGGUGGUUAGCGGCGGACGGGUGAGUAACACGUGGGCAACCUGCCUGUAAGACUGGGAUAACACCGGGAAACCGGUGCUAAUACCGGAUAAUUCUUUCCUUCUCAUGAGGGAAAGCUGAAAGUCGGUUUCGGCUGACACUUACAGAUGGGCCCGCGGCGCAUUAGCUAGUUGGUGAGGUAACGGCUCACCAAUGCGACGAUGCGUAGCCGACCUGAGAGGGUGAUCGGCCACACUGUGACUGAGACACGGCCCAGACUCCUACGGGAGGCAGCAGUAGGGAAUCUUCCACAAUGGACGAAAGUCUGAUGGAGCAACGCCGCGUGAGCGAUGAAGGCCUUCGGGUCGUAAAGCUCUGUUGUUAGGGAAGAACAAGUACCGGAGUAACUGCCGGUACCUUGACGGUACCUAACCAGAAAGCCACGGCUAACUACGUGCCAGCCGCCGCGGUAACAC
rnacentral:rRNA from 1 species